rnacentral:lncRNA from 1 species
CAGGAUAUGCUAUUGGAUUAAUGGUGAAAUAUGAAAGAAAGGAGUCAAAAAUGAAUACAGUGGUUUGGUUUAGUUUUUUCCCUUGCCAACUGGAAAAAAAAAAAAAAAAGGAGUUCCCAUUUACAGAGAUAAUACAGAUUAUAGGAGAAAUAUGCUUAGUGGAUCAAAUGAGUAGUUUUAUUCUGAGCAUGUUAAGUUUAAAAAAUGUGAUGCACAUCCAAAUGAAGAAGCUGAGUGUGCUUAGAUUUAAGGAGAUAAAAUCUCUUCCUUAACUACCUCCUUUCCUCCCACCUCUUUUGUUACCAAUCUCCCCUUCUGUUAAGGACUUUGUUUAGGUCUGUUAUCACUGUACUUUCACACUCAUGUUCCUUGAACAAAUCUAUUUCACCUCCCUCUCUAGUUUAUUCAUUUUUCAAUAAUCCAUUUAAUCUGUCAUCUAUCUAUAGCUAGAGAGGGAGUAUAUGAUGAGAUUAAAGAGCAGAUAUCCCUGGGCCUAAUUGCUGCUAGUUGAAUUCCUAGCUCUGCCAUUUACUAGGUAUUUCAAGUUUGGUAAUGUCUUUGUUCCUCAGUUUUCUCACAGAUAAAAUGAAGAUAACAAUAGUAUAUACAUUACAUUUUUAGAGCAACAUUCUGAGAAUACUAAGUCUCUUUUGUCGAAGUAAUUUCAGCUAGGACAGUGUCUUGAUAAGGAGAACACAUAUUUUUCUUAAAACCAAUCACUUUUUGUGGCCACUUGACCAGUAACUGAGGUCAUAUGUCAGUAUGGUUCAAGACAACAAGUAUAAAUUUUGACCCAUUAGGACAAGGCUUAACCUCCAAAGUCAUUUUGACUGUGGUCAUACUUAGUUCCAUGACUUUAAAUACCAUCUGUAAGUAUGUUGUUUUCAAAUUUUUCAUCCUGGAUGUCUAGGCUCAGAAAGUCUCAGUGGGGCAAAUCACAUGGCUUUUGGACUAUAUUUGUCAUAUAUCUCUUUAAUGGAGUACAAUUCUAGGUUAUCACAAGAUACAAACAAUACUUGAAUCAUGCAGUUCCUUCCCUUAGCGCUAAUUCCAUUAAUUUAUUUAUUCAAUAAUUUAAUAUUCAGUGCCCAUUAUACUCAGGCAGUCUUAUAGGUACUGGAUAUAAUGAUGAUCAAAGCAGAAAAGUUGAUUAUCUAAAAUACUUUACUGUUCAUAGAAUGAUUCAAAAAAGUCAGUUCUUCUACCAUUGAGACUACUUCAUAGACAUAAAACAAUGAUUUAGAGGCAUUACUCUAGACAGGAAGAGGGACAUAUUUCUAAUCACUUGGAAAAUGAAUCAGAGCUGGGUGUUAAGCAAGAACCUGAGGUGUCAGAAAUCAGUCCUUCCAGGUUAAAUGACUUUAGUCAUCCCUUCAUUUCCAGAAAGGUCCCCAGAAGUCCUAAAAUCUCAAAAAAGACUGAGAUUUUAUUCCCACUCCUUUCAGAAAUAAGACAUUAUGACAAAAUAAAAAAGUCUCCUCUCUCCCUUAAACCUGUUCACAAAGGACUGAUUCCCGUGACAGUGGAAGGAAGCUAAAAGGAAAGAUAUGAGUCAUCCUACAUCUCAACUCACUUAAAAUGUCCCAAAUAUUUCUGGGGAAGGUUUUAAACAUGCACACACAAACCUACCUUAAAAGAUUCUGCAUUUUCAGUUAAAAUACAACACAACUCUACAUUGUUUCCCAAAGAUUUGCUAUAUGGUAGGAAGAAUAUUUUUUAAACCUGCAAAGAUUUUAUAGCAGAGUAUAAUCUUGACGUGGACAAAAACAGUAUCCCUGAUUGACGCAAACAUAAAUAGAAGUAACCAUGACUGGCCUCAAAUUCCCUGGUUGUUAACAAUUUACUCACAGGAAAAAAUAGGAGUGGACACAACUCUGGUCUUGACCUAAGAGAGUUGGGAACUGGAGAAAAGGAGGUGAAUAGUUAGGAUGCCCAUUUCACGCUUGGCACAAGGAAAAAAAUACAUCUGCAGCAUAAUUUAUACCAAGAAAGGCUAAAACCAUGGAGUCCAUAAUCAAAGCACCAAUGGUGACAGCAGCAACUAGAGAAGUAGUAUCCAGAAACAUGUAUGACUACCACCAGUAUAAUUCUCUAGUGCUGGGACUUUGGAAGCAACUGCUAAGUAUUUAUUAUGCUAGUAAGGGACACUUUAAUGACAUUUUUACAGUACUUACUUAGUUAAAAUUCAAACCUUGUAAUAUUUACCUGUUUACAAUGCAUUUUGUAAUUGUUUACAAUACAUUUACAUUUAUUUUUAUAAUUCCAAGCAGUUGAGAAGUGUGGCAGCCAGUAAACUCGAUUUGAAAAAAUAGGGUUUUUUCCUAAGAAAUGAUUUUAAUAAUGAAAAACAUGUACAACUUUAUACAUUUAGACUGCUUAUCUAAAUCAUCUGAACUUUAUUUUUAUUAUUAUUUUUAAUAGUUAUUUCCCCAAUACAAUUUUUUUCUAAUGUACAGCAUAGUGACAUAUUCUAAUAGAACAUGUGCAUAUUCUAUUUUCGUGCAUUAUCAUGCCCAUCAUGAACAUUUUGCAAGAGCGUAUGGUUUUCCUAAAUAUAAAAUAUCCUUCACACUACUUCACUUUUACUUAUUAUAGUAAUGGAAAUGUGUUUUAUUGCAUACAAGAAAGCAUAUUAUUUGCAUCAACAUCAUGUAAUAAUUUUGAAUUAAUCCCUGUAUUGAGUUUAUGACAUGUCCUAUUCUGUUUAAUUGAUAGAAAUUUAACAGUCAUAAUCCGUAUUUACUUUUUAUACCCAGUAGAAUUUGCAUAGAAAGAGCUGAGUAUUUUGAAGUCAUAUUAGUUCUCAGAAUCUAGUUCACAAAUAUUAGUUGUAUAAUGAGUUGAAAAUCAAUAUACAUCAAGUAAAAGUAAGUUUAACAAAUCUUAUAGUUUCUUUGGUAGAUAUGUCAAAUAUAAGAGGUUUUAACAGAUAUCACUUUAGAAUAUUACAAAAUAUUUAAUAGUGUAAGGAAUAUUUCCAUAAUCUGAAAAGAAUGAGUUUCUCUGACUUAAGCACAAGUAUAUUCAUUCAUUCAUCUGUGCAUUUAAGUUUACAUGCAUACAUUUGUUUAAUAUGUAUUUGUUGAGCAGAUGAAGUAGCAGGUAUUUUUACUGUGCCCUGAAUAAAAAUGGUGACUAGUAGAACAUUGUUUUCCUGAAUUGAGUGUGGAAGACAAAGAAUAUAACACUCCAGAUAAAAUUCUGUGGGCUGACAUUUUUAUAGCAAGUUACAGUCUCUGGAGCAAGAAAAACAUGUGUUUAAAAUCUGGUUCAGCCAUCUCCUAAUUGUGUAGAUCAGAGCUGACUAAGGUACUUAAACUUUGUAAACUCUAGUUCCCUCUUCUAUUAGAGAAGUUUCUCUUGCUUUAAAAUAGUUGUAAUAUCACUUAUGAAUAUAAGGAUUAUAAGAAAUAAUACAUUAUGUAAACUAUAAUGAUGCUAGUCCAAUAGUUGUUCUCAUAAUAUACUCAAAAUAAGAACCCAAAAGUACAGUGUGCUAUUCAAAAAUAGUGAUUAUGCUGAUCGUCUAUGCUACCAAUAAAAUGAACUAAAAGUAUCCUUAUUUUGUUAUCUUCAAUUCCCAUCACAAAAAUAAAAGAUCAAUAAACACUCUAAGUGAAAAUUAAAGUAGCAGCUAAUUGAAAAAAUAACCCCACUUGUGAUAGAGCAUGAUGGAGGAUAGAAUGUGAUUAAAAAGAAUGUAUAUAUGUAUGUGUGACUGUGUGACUUUGCUAUAUAGAAAAUUGACCAAACACUGUAAAACAACUAUAAUGGAAAAAAUAAAAAUCAUUAAAAAACCCACUUUAAUGUGAAACAUUAGACAUUAUAAAAAAGAAAACCACGUUCUUAUCCAAGACAGUAUGAAGUCGUUGUCGUUAGUGUUGGUCAUUAGUGUUUAUGGCUUGGAAUCCUUUCAUAUGACACUUCUCAUUUACAUUGAUCCUAUAAUGAUACUCAAAACUUAGGUGGUCCCACAAUUGAAAGAAAAAUUAUAUACGAAGUCACAAAAUAUUUUCCUCAACUUUUAUAAGAACAAUAUUUAAAUUAAUCCCAUUUAUGUGCCAGAUAUUUUUUAUUUUUCAAAAAAUUUGCCCUCAUAAGGUAAAUAUAUUUGUAUUUAUUUCUAUUCUUUUAAAUAUGUUUACUUAAGUAAUUUAUAGCCUUAUAUUGAAAACAUAAUAUAUUUGGUAUCAUGACACUAUUAUUCUUAACACUGAAAAUGAUCUAUUCUUCUAUAUUAUUUUUCAAUGAAACAAGCAUCUAUUUUUAAAGAACUUUUUAAGAUGGAUUAAAAAAAAGACCCUUAAAGAGGGAGUGAAGAAGGAAAAAUAAAAAACAGCAACAAGAGCAACAACUUUCUUUACAAUAAAGGACUGCAAUAGAAUAUAAACAUAGUUGGAUCCUGGUUUGAGAGAUCUUUUUCUCUUGGGAAAUGAAAUCUGAGAAUAUAUUAUAGGUGAAUCACCACAGUCAUAGAAAAAACAUAUCAUGCAAAGAGCUAGAAUAUUCAAAGCACCAAAGCAUAGCAUUAGAUCUAGGAAAUGUUAAUUUUUAUUAGAUUGCAAGUCACUGAAACCAAAGAAUCUAUUGGUAGAUGACAGAAGUAGCUCACCAAACUAAGGAAAUACUGCACAAAUCAAGUUUAAACACCUGCUUGUUUCAGAUAUUCUUUUGAAAUUACUAGGGAAAAGACUAAAGGAUGUUGUGGCAGGAGUUCUCACCUGGCUCUUUCUAUUAUAAAUUGGGGAUGGUCCCUAUUAUCACAGAUGUGACUGCUGGAGGCACCAUGAGUGUUUAUCAAGGAAAGAAGGGAAAUUAUAAAACACCAAGAAGCUAUCCUAAAUGGCAGUUAUAUGGGGCUGGCACUGUUUAAUCAGCUGAUCAAUUUUACCAUCUUCAGACUAAGAAAAGAUUAAGAAACUAUAGUACAUACAGAAAAAAAUAAUUUCCUUUUGUACCUCCAAUCCCAAACUAUACAUUUCAGAAUGUAUGCUCAUGAGGUUCUACCCAAGUAUGAAAUAAAGUCAUAGUUAAAUAUUUUCUAAAUGUGUUAGGUCACUGGUUAGACUGCUUUAACAGAGAUGAUGUAUCAGACACUUCAAUAAAAUAGAAGUUUAUUUCUUUUUUGUUAGAUUACAGUGGUAAAUUGUUAGGCAUAGUAGAGUGGUAUUUUAAGGACCUAUGUUUCUUGAAAUUUGGUUUUAAAUAGCAAUAUGUCCCCAAGCUUAUUAUUAUAGGGUUGAAUCUAAGUUUUGUUAAGAUAAAAAUUGUUUCUAAUAGUUUAAUGUCAUUAAGAAGAACCUAAGAUAAUGCUUGCUCCUUGGUCUCUGUGCCCAUAUAUCCUUUUCUCAUCUAGUGACAGCUGCCUGAUUACAUAGCAUGUCCCAUAGAAAAACAAUAUAUAAAUCAUGAAAUAUGCAAAAUACAACUUUUCUAUGGUUAUGUUUAUUUCCUAUAGAAUCAUAUAGGACACUUCUAGAAUACAGGUGCCAUGUCUCAUUAAUUAGGUGGCAGUAGAUAGUUUGAUUCUGACGUUUCCAUUAUGUUUGUUUCUACACAUUUAAGCAAUAGUUCAUGUUAAAAAAAUAACUAGAUAUUUCAGUCGUAUGUUAGACACCAAAAAUUCCACACCAAGUAUAGAUUAUUUUUAAGCUAUCUCCACUAUUCCACUCAGAAGUGGCAUCUGAGGAAAAAAAUCAACAAAGAUUAUCCC